rnacentral:rRNA from 1 species
CCUACGGGCGGCAGCAGUGAGGAAUAUUGGUCAAUGGGCGCGAGCCUGAACCAGCCAAGUCGCGUGAGGGAGGACGGCCCUACGGGUUGUAAACCUCUUUUGCCGGGGAGCAACGGGCGUCACGUGUGGCGCCACAGAGAGGACCCGGAGAAAAAGCAGCGGCCAACUCCGUGCCAGCAGCCGCGGUAAUACGGAGGAUGCGAGCGUUAUCCGGAUUGAUUGGGUUGAAAGGGUGCGUAGGCGGAUCGUUAAGUCAGUGGUCAAAUUGAGGGGCUCAACCCCUUCCCGCCAUUGAAACUGGCGCUCUUGAGUGGAAGAGAAGUAUGCGGAAUGCGUGGUGUAGCGGUGAAAUGCAUAGAUAUCACGCAGAACCCCGAUUGCGAAGGCAGCAUGCCGGCUUCCGCCUGACGCUGAAGCACGAAAGCGUGGGGAUCGAACAGGAUUAGAUACCCGUGUAGUC